rnacentral:tRNA from 1 species
GGCGAGGUGGUGGAGGUCUUCACCUCCAAGGCCGUCAACGCCGGCCCGAGCCGCGACUGGCAGACGUUCGUCGUCUCCCCGCGC